rnacentral:rRNA from 1 species
CCUACGGGAGGCAGCAGUGGGGAAUAUUGCACAAUGGGCGAAAGCCUGAUGCAGCAACGCCGCGUGAAGGAAGAAGGCCUUCGGGUCGUAAACUUCUGUCCUUGGGGAAGAAGGACUGACGGUACCCAAGGUGGAAGCCCCGGCGAACUACGUGCCAGCAGCCGCGGUAAUACGUAGGGGGCAAGCGCUAUCCGGAUUGAUUGGGCGUAAAGAGUACGUAGGUGGCAACCUAAGCGCUGGGUUUAAGGCAAUGGCUCAACCAUAGUUCGCCCUGCGAACUGGGAUGCUUGAGUGCAGGGGAGGAGAGCGGAAUUCCAAGUGUAGCGGUGAAAUGCGUAGAUAUUAGGAGGAACACCGGUGGCGAAGGCGGCUUUCUGGACUGUAACUGACGCUGAGGUACGAAAGCGUGGGGAGCAAACAGGAUUAGAUACCCGGGUAGUC